rnacentral:rRNA from 1 species
GAAUUCACUAGUGAUUCAGGCCUAACACAUGCAAGUCGAGCGGUAGAGAGAAGCUUGCUUCUCUUGAGAGAGGCGGACGGGUGAGUAAUGCCUAGGAAUCUGCCUGGUAGUGGGGGAUAACGUUCGGAAACGGACGCUAAUACCGCAUACGUCCUACGGGAGAAAGCAGGGGACCUUCGGGCCUUGCGCUAUCAGAUGAGCCUAGGUCGGAUUAGCUAGUUGGUGAGGUAAUGGCUCACCAAGGCUACGAUCCGUAACUGGUCUGAGAGGAUGAUCAGUCACACUGGAACUGAGACACGGUCCAGACCCCUACGGGAGGCAGCAGUGGGGAAUAUUGGACAAUGGGCGAAAGCCU